UACUUUUAUAAAUAUGUUUCUUUUAGAAAACUCAAUUUAUAAUUUUCCCAGGGGAGAAAAAAGGGCAAAAACAAAAUGCAUCCGACCAAACUCCCAACAAGCUACUGCUCUUUCCCCUUACACCCCAUGGUUAUGCCCCCACAGCUUGAAGGGUAUAAAAUACUAAAGGAGUCUGAGACACUUAUCCUCAAAACUGUGGCUCAGGGGUCAGAGAUAGCCCAGAGGAGUGUCAUUUGAACUAGGCACUGACACUCUACAUUUCCAUGAGAGAAGGGAAGGAGUGCUCCAGGAAGCAGAGCUCCAGGGAACAACCUGGAGGUAGGCAAGACAGCAUGAGUCUGAGACUAGUGAGCAGCAGCAGGAAGAAAAAUCGAGGCUGGGCCUCGCAAAGCAGUCUUGAACAUGCCUCUGAGAUGGCCGCCACCUGCUAAAGGCCCUUAGCUACUGCAGGGCUGAGGUGGCCCCUGGCACUGACCUUGAACUGGGCUUCAGGUGGGCCGGUGAUGAUGACCAUUCUUUCGCUGACAUCUGGGCCUUCCGCCGGGGCAAUCUGCAGUUUACAAGGCAAGAGGAAAAUGCUGCUGCCGGGCUGUGGUCCCCAGUCCCCUCUCUCAUACUAGCAAGGGAUUAUGAUGUGGUUUCUGCCUUUGCAACUGCUGCUUUCACUCUGGGUCUUAGGAAGAUACCACCAUAGUGCCCAGUAUCAAAUUUGGGUCUUUGACCAUCCAGGCAGACUUGGAAACAGUGCAAGGAGUUCCUGCCCGUCCCUGCCCCGAGCACCUGCAAUGACUGGCCUCCUUUUACCGAGCCAAGGGAGUCAAGAGCUCUAGGAGGAAGAAGGAGGUGUAGGCUCAGCUAGCCCACCCAGGGCCCCGAGGGGGUAAGGGCUAAGUCCACAGAGGCACUACUGUGGAGCCAACUUGCAGGAAAGGUGCCCCUGGUUCUAGUUCUCAGCUCACAGAGGCAACUGGCUGCAAGGGAGAGUUGAGCUAGAGCAUGAGUGGCCAGGACCUGCUCCUCCACGGCACAGGAACCAAGUGUGACAGCACCAGAGCAAGGAUGAGGUCACCCUGGUCCCAGUGUCUGCUCUGCAAAUCCCUCCCCUCCCCGGCCUCCAUGUCCUCAUCUGUGAAAUUUGGAGGUGAAAUCUGGCAAGCUCAAUGCUGCCUUCUAUUUGUGAGUCUAUCUGCUCUAUUUGUGAUUCUGAGUUCUCUUGUAACACAACUCAAUGACAGACCAAGCAAGCAUGAUUUUUGUUGUUGUUGUCGUUAGACUCAUUUUAUAUUCUUUUCUGCAUACCCUGCCUUAUUCUGAAAAUCAUUAAGGUAGCUUUGAAAAUGAAAACAGUGUAGCAAAACUAAAGUUAGUUUAAAAUGAGCUAAGGGUACACCAUUUAGGAAUGAGUCAAGCUUGAGGUUAGUACAACUGUCUGACAUUCACCAGCUAAGACCAGCAGUCCAAGAGCUACUCCUGUGCUCCUGCAGCUUUGGAAUGACAUUCCACCGGCAAACUCCCUCGAGAGCACCAGGAAGGAGAACCCUGUUUUAUCACUGAAACAAACAGGACCCGGAGGGGAGGUGACUGCCGAGAUCCCAGGGUGAGCAGGGGCGGGAGUAAGGCUCAGGAGAUUUGUGUGGCAUUCGGAAGCCUGCGGAUGCUCUGCAGGGAGAGUGACGGGAGCCCAGCUGUUGUCUGUAACCAAGGCAUCUUGGGGUGUUAUCUUCCCGACCUCACCUCAACCCAGCCCCUGCCAGCACUCAACCCCCACAUAUAAGUGUACAGCUCUCUCCCUGCCCUGGGAGCAUCUCCCUGUGCCUGUAGCUGUGGUCUCUGAAGACAGGCAAAGCAGGAAUGGAGGGUUCUUUAGAGUGAGAUUAUCCAUUUUGCUUUAGAGAAAAUGCUUUCAGUCCUGUUGAAAAUAACAAAGCCAGGUCUGAUUUUUAAAAGUAGAAAGCUUCUCUCACCAAUACUUGGCUUCUGUGGUUUUCUCUCCUUUACUGCUAUGGAGACAGGCAGGGAUCGGGAAAGAAGGCUGCGGCUGGAGAAGCAGGAUGUUGUGUGCAGCAUAAAGGAUGAUGGGGUACUGCCAGCCUGCAGAGCCCGUUCUGUUCCCCUGGUCCUGCCCUGCUGUGUCUGCCCAUCAGAGGCCAUGAGUCAGGUGAUACACCCCUGCUCAACCUUGCUGGGACAUAGAAGGAUGGUGGGGACGCCGUGGGGUGGAGCCCAAGGGAUUGCCCUCUCUCUUAGUUUCCCGAAGGCCAGCUGGGAGUGACUCUGGUAUAGCACUCAGGUUGCUGAGGUGGAAAAAACACUGGACCAGAGAUCAGAUCACCUGGUCAAAUGUCGGCUCUUGUAUUCUUUACCUUCGUGACCUUCAACACUCAGUGAAACCCUCUGGGCCCUGUUCCUCACGGGCAACAGUAAGUGGGAAGCAAGUGCUCCGGCCAGUCCCAGUGGUGCUCAGCACACUACAGGGCAGCACAACCGAUGAGGUCAGGGCCGGUCCUGCCACUUGUGUGCCUUGGCCUGGUCCCUGGGCCUCUCUAAGUCCCACUUUUCCCAGGGAAAAAGAGAGGAUUUCAUGUCAUAAUCCCUUGAGCCCCUUUGAGUUGAAAUCAUCUCCUUCUGUCUCUUGCACGGUAUCUCAGGCCACAUGACUGGACACAGGGAAAGGCCCUUGGGGGCAGCCGGCCCAGUGGUCCUCCACGCUGUACCUGUCCUGCCACGGCUGCCGGCAUGUGGGCUGGGGUCUUAGCUGCAACAAGCCUGUUAGAAGCCAUGGCCCCCCCGUGUGCUGCGCUGCAGUCCGCCCGCACCUCAGGGCUCCCGCCUAGACUCUGCACUUGGCAGCACACUUGCUGUGGGAGAAAUUCCAGCUCUUCUUGUGGAGAAAGCGCAAGCAUUCUUUCUCUCCAAGUCAUGAGACUUCUCGCUCGGAAUUCCGGGUUGUCCCAUGGUAGCAAAUUAUUUUACGUAACAACGGAAACUCUGUUUUCAAAAGAGUUUCAUGAGGCUUGGGACGUGCUCAGCAUUCUGCCUGUGAGUCAGAGCCGAUAGCUGGGCUUGGAGCAGGACCAGGGUCGAAUAAUCCUUCCCUUUCAGCUUCUCGGGCGCUUCUUCACAUGGCGCUCGAAGGGGCAGGAUGUGGGUCUGUAACUACACUCACCACCAUUUCCAUAAAUCAAGGGGCCUUCCUUCCUGAGCCACUCUGUGCAGUCCCAGGACUGCCUGUCCGGCUGUGAUACCAGCUUUUGUUUACCUACACUUUUAUCACUUUCCAAAGAGUUUUUCAUCCAAACUACUUUCUUGAGAAUUUGUGAAGCAGAGAGACUAAUUAAAGCGUCAAAGCACUGAUAACAGCGAAGUGAAAAUGAUGCUCUGCUGAAGUGCGCUCCCUUAGGUUGGGGAAAAAACCCUCAGCCUUUUUCUUUCCUCCCUCCCUCCCUUCCUCCCUUCCUUUUUUCCUUCCUUCUUUUUUUUUUUUUUGCUUUAUCUUCUUAAGAAGAAGACUAUGGUAGCCCAAACAGGACUGGGUUGGCUUGUCUGUUACUAGAAAUUUUUCUAAUUCAGUUGUUAGUUGAGCAAGAAAGGAAUGAGAGAGGUAAAGAUGAGAGCAGAUAGGAUUAAUCUUGGGGGCCAAUUUGCCAGAUCCUGUGGGAGUCUGUCCCCAGAAAGAGUCAGCGUUGCUCAGGACUAGCAGAAGGAACAAGGCACAUGGGGUGGGAAGGUGGUGAUGGAAGAAGGCGGGAAACAGGUGGCUGUGGAGAGCAGCUUUACCUUGAUGGAGGCCCCAGCGAAUCGAGCCAGCUGUUUAAUGUGCGCCCCCUUCUUCCCAAUGAUGGCACCUACAGCCUGGGUCGGGAUGAAGAGAUUCACAAUCUCCUGCUCAGGGUACUGGAAGGGCAGCACAAGACAAGACAUCAUUCCCACUGGGUUGUUCCAUCAGGCACUCAGCAGGUACCUAGCAUCUACGACGAGCCGUGUGCUGUGGGAGCCCUAAUACCCAAGGAAAUGGUCAAAAUGGUGCAUGGGAUGCUCCUGCGGCCUAGUUGCUGCAGGUGUGAGGCCUAAGGAACAAACCUGGGCACAGGGAGCACUACAUGACAAUCGAAAUGGGAACUCCUCUUGAGCAGCUCUGAAUUUGCUGGAUUCAGAAAGCUGUCUGUUCACAGGCUUUCUGUCAUAUGCAAAUGUGAUAGGUACUGCUCGCUCCUGUGUCUUUAUCCAAGAAAUCAAUACUGUUAUUAAAUAUACCUGGCCUGAGGACAGGGUCCUGAGGCACUUUGUUAGAAGAACAGGAAACAACUCUGCACACCUUGUAGCCAUGACUGGUGGGAUCUUCACCAGAGUGACAUCAGGUUCGAAAGAAGGUAAGUAAACCUGCCGUGACCAUGCCACAUGGUGACAGCCCAGAGAGACCAGGGGUCGUCCCCAUAGGGGUCUGUGGGAAUGACACGACCCCAUUUGUUCAAAGACCUUUAGAAACGCUCUUCUUUGCUAAAUACUAUCUCCUAAUUUUAUCUCUUGAUCAUUCGUAUGUACCUGUUUCCUGCCACCUGUGGAUUUGUAAGCAUUGGCAGGAGUGCUGACUGUUGGGGUA